rnacentral:lncRNA from 1 species
UUAACAGCCCAACAAAAUUAUCCCCAAAGAACAGGAAUUCGAAACAUAGUUUUAAAAUGAAACCCCAAACAUAACAAAAUAAACAAACUUAAUCGACCUCCUCAAUCUUCGGGCCAGCACCGCCUCCACCAACUGGAACAUCAUCAUCCUAUCGACCCACCCGCAGCAUCACCAGCUCCACCCUGAUACAUCUUUGCGAUGAUCGGGUUGCAGACAUUCUCCAGCUCCUUCAUUUUGUCUUCAAACUCAUCCGCUUCAGCAAGCUGGUUGUUAUCCAGCCAUGAGACAGCCUCAUCAAUAGCAUCCUCAAUCUUCUUCUUGUCUUCUGGGCUCAACUUCUCCCCAAUCUUCUCAUCCUUGAUCGUGUUUCUCAUGUUGUAUGCAUAAUUCUCCAAUGCAUUCUUAGCAUCCACCUUCUUCUUGUGCUCCUCAUCCUCAGCCUUGUACUUCUCUGCCUCUUGAACCAUCUUCUCGAUUUCUUCCUUCGAAAGCCUGCCCUUGUCGUUGGUAAUGGUGAUCUUGUUCUUUUGACCAGUUGUUUUGUCUUCCGCAGAGACGUUUAGAAUACCGUUGGCGUCAAUGUCAAAGCAGACGGUGAUUUGUGGGACUCCUCUGGGCGCAGGUGGGAUUCCGGAAAGCUCAAACUUGCCUAACAAGUUGUUGUCACGUGUUCUCGCUCUUUCACCUUCGUAAACCUGAAUCAAAACACCUGGUUGGUUGUCGGAGUAGGUUGAAAACACUUGCUCUUUCUUUGUUGGGAUGGUGGUGUUUCUUGGGAUGAGGACCGUCAUAACACCGCCAGCGGUUUCAAGCCCAAGAGAUAGUGGGGUGACAUCCAAAAGAAGCAAAUCUUGAACCUUCUCAUUGCCCUCGCCACUCAAGAUCGCAGCUUGGACCGCAGCACCGUAUGCAACUGCUUCAUCAGGGUUAAUGCUCUUGCAGAGCUCCUUUCCGUUGAAAAAAUCUUGCAAUAAUUGUUGAACUUUGGGAAUUCUGGUGGAACCACCAACAAGAACGACAUCAUGGACACUGCUCUUAUCCAUCUUGGCAUCUCUUAAACACUUCUCAACCGGCUCCAUACACUUUCUGAACAGGUCCAUGUUCAGCUCUUCGAAUCUAGCACGGGUAAUGGUGGAGUAAAAGUCAACACCCUCGUACAAAGAGUCAAUUUCAAUGGUGGUUUGAGCGGUGGACGAUAAAGUUCUCUUUGCUCUCUCACAUGAAGUUCUCAACCUUCUCAAUGCUCUUGGGUUUCCAGGUUUGUUUAGGAGAAUGUGUGUGAAUGAGAUUUUAGGGUUUGAGAAAAGAGGGAUUGUAGGAGUGAGAG